CCUACGGGUGGCUGCAGUGGGGAAUAUUGCACAAUGGGCGCAAGCCUGAUGCAGCCAUGCCGCGUGUGUGAAGAAGGCCUUCGGGUUGUAAAGCACUUUCAGCGGGGAGGAAGGCGGUGAGGUUAAUAACCUCAUCGAUUGACGUUACCCGCAGAAGAAGCACCGGCUGACUCCGUGCCAGCAGCCGCGGUAAUACGGAGGGUGCAAGCGUUAAUCGGAACUACUGGGCGUAAAGCGCACGCAGGCGGUCUGUCAAGUCGGAUGUGAAAUCCCCGGGCUCAACCUGGGAACUGCAUUCGAAACUGGCAGGCUAGAGUCUUGUAGAGGGGGGUAGAAUUCCAGGUGUAGCGGUGAAAUGCGUAGAGAUCUGGAGGAAUACCGGUGGCGAAGGCGGCCCCCUGGACAAAGACUGACGCUCAGGUGCGAAAGCGUGGGGAGCAAACAGGAUUAGAUACCCCAAUAGUC
rnacentral:rRNA from 1 species